rnacentral:rRNA from 1 species
CCAAGCUACUAAGGGCAAUCGGUGGAUGCCUUGGUGCCAAGAGGCGAUGAAAGACGUGGUAAGCUGCGAUAAGCUUCGGGGAGCUGCUAAACAAGCUUUGAUCCGGAGAUCUCUGAAUGGGGCAACCCGCUCUGGUUAAUCCCGGAGCAUCAUCCGCUGAAUACAUAGGCGGAUGAGGCGAACGGAGGGAACUGAAACAUCUUAGUACCUCCAGGAACAGAAAACAAAAGUGAUUUCCAAAGUAGCGGCGAGCGAAAUGGAAAGAGCCCAAACCGAGCACAUGUCAAGCCCGGAAGCGUUGUGUGCUCGGGGUCGAGGGAUUUGAUUGGAUGGUUUUCCGGAACCGUCGGGAAGUCAAAAAUCCGUUAAGUCGUCGAAGUGUCUGGAAAGACGCACCGUAGAAGGUGAUAGUCCUGUAGAUCAAACUUAACGGACUUCCUUAAUCGAACACCCAAGUACCGCGGGACACGUGGAACCCCGUGGGAAUUCGGGAGGACCAUCUCCCAAGGCUAAAUACUCCUUGGCAACCGAUAGUGAACCAGUACCGUGAGGGAAAGGUGAAAAGCACCCCGGUGAGGGGAGUGAAAUAGUACCUGAAACCGAUUGCCUACAAGCAGUGGGAGCACGAUGAGGUUUCGCUUCGGCGAUUCUUCCGUGUGACCGCGUGCCUUUUGCAUAAUGAGUCAGCGAGUUACUCUACGUAGCAAGGUUAAGCCGAGAGGUGGAGCCGUAGCGAAAGCGAGUCUGAACGGGGCGUUCAGUUGCGUGGAGUAGACCCGAAACCAAGUGAUCUAUCCAUGGCCAGGGUGAAGCGCGAGUAAGAUCGCGUGGAGGCCCGAACCGUUGUAGGUUGAAAACUGCUCGGAUGAGCUGUGGAUAGGGGUGAAAGGCCAAACAAACUUGGAAAUAGCUGGUUCUCCCCGAAAUAUAUUUAGGUAUAGCCUCGUGUCAUUCUGUGGCGGGGGUAGAGCACUGGAUGGGCUAGGGGUCCUACCAGAUUACCAAACCUAACCAAACUCCGAAUACCGCCAACAGUUAUCACGGGAGUCAGACUGCGGGAGCUAAGUUCCGUAGUCGAAAGGGAAACAGCCCAGAUCGCCAGCUAAGGUCCCUAAGUGUGUGCUAAGUGGGAAAGGAUGUGGAAAUGCACAGACAACCAGGAGGUUGGCUUAGAAGCAGCCAUCCUUUAAAGAAAGCGUAAUAGCUCACUGGUCGAGUGAGUCUGCGCCGAAAAUUCAACGGGGCUCAAGCACACCACCGAAGCUGCGGGUUCGUUCCGGCUAUGGCCGGAGCGAGCGGUAGGGGAGCGUUCCGUACGGGUUGAAGGUCGAUCGCAAGGACGGCUGGACUAUACGGAAGUGACCAUGCUGACAUGAGUAACGAAAAAGCGGGUGAAAAACCCGCUCGCCGAAAGCCUAAGGUUUCCUGGGUAAAGUUAAUCUUCUCAGGGUUAGUCGAUCCCUAAGCCGAGGCCGAAAGGCGUAGGUGAUGGAAAACAGGUUAAUAUUCCUGUACCACCAUGUCAUCGUUUGAGUGAUGGGGGGACGCAGAAGGGUAGAUCAGUCCCGUGCUGGAAUACGGGAUUCAAGCAGGUAGGCUGAAGGGGCAGGAAAAUCCACUCCUUCUUAAGGCCGAGAUGUGAUGACGAGUCCGCUUGCGGACAUAAAGUGAUUGAUCCCAUGCUGCCAGGAAAAGCCUCUAGCGAGAUGACAAGGUGAUCGUACCGUAAACCGACACAGGUAGGCGAGGAGAGAAUCCUCAGGCGCUUGAGAUAACCCUGGUUAAGGAACUCGGCAAAAUAACACCGUAACUUCGGGAGAAGGUGGGCCUGUUAUAGGUGAAGCGACUCGCUCGUGGAGCUGAAACAGGCCGCAGAGAAAUGGCGGUAGCGACUGUUUACUAAAAACAUAGGACUCUGCUAAGUCGCAAGACAACGUAUAGGGUCUGACGCCUGCCCGGUGCCGGAAGGUUAAGGGGAGAUGUUAGAACCGCUUCGGCGGGACGAAGCAUUGAACCGAAGCCCCGGUNNAUUCCUUGUCGGGUAAGUUCCGACCUGCACGAAUGGCGUAACGACUUCCGCACUGUCUCAACCAGGGACUCAGUGAAAUUGUAUUCUCGGUGAAGAUGCCGAGUACCCGCGGCUAGACGGAAAGACCCCGGCACCUUUACUACAGCUUGACAUUGGAUCUUGGGCUGACAUGUGUAGGAUAGGUGGGAGGCUUUGAAGCUGGGACGCUAGUCUCGGUGGAGCCAACCUUGAAAUACCACCCUUGUUAUUCUAGGAUUCUAACUUCGUUCCGUGAUCCGGGCGAAGGACAGUGUCUGGUGGGUAGUUUGACUGGGGCGGUCGCCUCCCAAAGCGUAACGGAGGCGCGCGAAGGUUCCCUCAGGCUGAUUGGAAACCAGCCGUGGAGUGUAAAGGCACAAGGGAGCUUGACUGCGAGAGAGACAUUUCGAGCAGGUACGAAAGUAGGUCUUAGUGAUCCGGCGGUUCCGAAUGGAAGGGCCGUCGCUCAUCGGAUAAAAGGUACGCCGGGGAUAACAGGCUAAUCGCAUCCAAGAGUUCACAUCGACGAUGCGGUUUGGCACCUCGAUGUCGGCUCAUCACAUCCUGGGGCUGGAGCAGGUCCCAAGGGUUCGGCUGUUCGCCGAUUAAAGUGGUACGUGAGCUGGGUUUAAAACGUCGUGAGACAGUUUGGUCCCUAUCUGCCGUGGGCGCAGGAGAUUUGAGGGGAGCUGUUCCUAGUACGAGAGGACCGGAAUGGACGAACCUCUGGUGUUCCAGUUGUCACGCCAGUGGCAACGCUGGGUAGCUAUGUUCGGACGGGAUAACCGCUGAAAGCAUCUAAGCGGGAAGCCCACCCCAAGAUUAGAUCUCCCUUUUGCAGGGCAACCUGCGAAACUGAAGGCCCCUCGAAGACCACGAGGUUGAUAGGCCGGGAGUGUACGCACAGCAAUGUGUUCAGCUUACCGGUACUAAUCGGCCGUGAGGCUUGGCCAC